rnacentral:rRNA from 1 species
GACGAACGCUGGCGGCGUGCUUAACACAUGCAAGUCGAACGAAGUGGCGUACGGGUGAUUAACGCGUAAUCAACCUGCCCUUCAGUGGGGGACAACAGUUGGAACCGACUGCUACUACCGCAUACUGAAGUAGGGGAUUGCGUCUGUUUAGCUAGUUGGCGGGGUAACGGCCUACCAAGGCGAUGAGCAGUAGCCUGUCUGGGAGGAUGAACGGCCACAUUGGGACUGAGACACGGCCCAGGCUCCUACGGGAGGCAGCAGUGGGGAAUCUUCCGCAAUGGACGAAAGUCUGACGGAGCAACGCCGCGUGAGGGAUGACGGCCUUCGGGUUGUAAAGCUCUGUUAAUCGGGACGCGGUACCGGAAUAGAAAGCCACGGCUAACUACGUGCCAGCAGCCGCGGUAAUAC